GCAGUUCGAGCGAAGAAGAUGGGAAGCUUGCUCCCUGAUCUUAGCGGCGGACGGGUGAGUAACACGUGGGCAACCUGCCCUGCAGACUGGGAUAACUCCGGGAAACCGGAGCUAAUACCGGGUAAUACAUCGCACCGCAUGGUGCAAUGUUGAAAGUUGGCUUUCUGAGCUAACACUGCAGGAUGGGCCCGCGGCGCAUUAGCUAGUUGGUAAGGUAAUGGCUUACCAAGGCGACGAUGCGUAGCCGACCUGAGAGGGUGAUCGGCCACACUGGGACUGAGACACGGCCCAGACUCCUACGGGAGGCAGCAGUAGGGAAUCUUCCGCAAUGGACGAAAGUCUGACGGAGCAACGCCGCGUGAGUGACGAAGGCCUUCGGGUCGUAAAGCUCUGUUGUUAGGGAAGAACAAGUACCGUUCGAAUAGGGCGGUACCUUGACGGUACCUAACCAGAAAGCCACGGCUAACUACGUGCCAGCAGCCGCGGUAAUACGUAGGUGGCAAGCGUUGUCCGGAAUUAUUGGGCGUAAAGCGCGCGCAGGCGGUCUUUUAAGUCUGAUGUGAAAGCCCACGGCUCAACCGUGGAGGGUCAUUGGAAACUGGAGGACUUGAGUGCAGAAGAGGAGAGUGGAAUUCCACGUGUAGCGGUGAAAUGCGUAGAUAUGUGGAGGAACACCAGUGGCGAAGGCGGCUCUCUGGUCUGUAACUGAC
rnacentral:rRNA from 1 species